UACUCAAGGCAGAAAAAUGUGUUUGGUUAAAAUACUAGUAAAUGGAAUUUCCAGGAGGGGCUCUACUUUUGGUGUAUUUUUCAUCAGCAUUUUGUAGCUAAUGCCUAAGUGCUGUGCUACUGAGUUGUUCUGCUAGAACAUGUCCUAGCCCAUAUUCCUCUCUGCUCCAUAAAGGAAGGGAAACUCCACAGGUCAUAGGCCAGUAACCUAUUGAUUCAUGAUAUCAGACAGAUGCUAUAGAACAGGCAUUUUGCAAAAUCCUGCUGCCUUAGUCUAGCUGUUCAGCUCUCUGUUUCUUGUUGUGGAAAGUUUUCUCAUAUCUCAUGGGCCAGAUGAUCUGAUUUUUAUGUUAAUUUUCAGUUUCUUUUGAAGUAAAAGGUUUUCUGAAGUGGAAUUUUUCUGAGGAAAUACGUUAAUGUUCUGUGUCUCUGUAACCUCUUGCGGUGAGAUGGUAGGUAUAGACAGGACAGACUGACAAGGCCAUUUUUGUGGGGGCAAAGCACAGAGUCAAGCUUGCUUUCAAACAAGGGAUUGCUGGAUCCUUGUUUGCUCUCCUGCUGUUAGCUCUCUCUUAUUUAUAAGUCUGUGCUUAGUCCUCAUAUUUUGGGAGAGAAUUGUGAAAAAGGUGAUUCAUUCCUCAUGAUGCCUGACACCCACUGACUCUCUGGAGCCUGGAUAGUUUGUAUACCCUUUACAAACUUGGGUGACUGCAUUAGUUUUGUGGCUUCCUGUGGUCAGCAUUUGAUCCUUCUGGGUCAUCUCUGAUUCCCUUGACUGUAGAAAUACUGACAUGCUCAGGCAUUGUGGCAGGGACACAUAUGUUCUCUAAUGGCCUUGGCAAAAGACACUAGUAAACUUGGCUUAGUAAACAUGUCUCUCAUGCUCCUCAUCUCAAAGUGAAUUGAGAAUUGUCAGUUUUUCUGUCAGCUUCUCCUCAGUGCUAGAGCCAUUUCAAGGUAAUAGUGAGACCACUCAGGCCAUGCCAUCUGCAAGGUGUUGAAUUUCUUGUUUGGGUUUGUUUAGUCAGCUAUGCAUUAUCCUACUUGCAGGACAUAGGGCUGGACACAGAUGAGGUCACCACUGAGCUGUCAGGAAUGAAUUUAGGUUAGGAAUUUGGAGAAAACAGCAGUCUAUGCUUGUGCCACCUGAAGGAUUUCACACAAACUCUGUGUUCUUCACACUGCUUGUGCCUCAGGAUUAGCAUGAGCUUCAAGAGUCAAUGGGCAGAGUGUUUUCUUCAGGAAACAACUAUUUGUGCUGUGGAAUUUUUGCUGGCUUCUGGAUUUCCAGAUGAAAUGUGAUGCAUGAUGUCCUAAAUGGGUUGAUUCCUGGUUACCUGGAGAAGAGGAACUGAUACUGCUGGCUACAAGACUGUCUGAGGUAUCUGGGCUAAUAAAUCACAAGGCAGGUGCCAGAAAAGGAUCUAGGGCUUUCCUUGGAAAUUAAUUUCUGAUGAAAUGUUUUUCCCCUAUCAGGCUGGUACCCUAAUGGAUUGACUUUCAUAUUUUGUGCCUAUACUUGUUUUCCUGAGUCCUUAAAAGUGCAAAUGCCUGUGUGUAUGCAUUUGUCCAAAGUUUCCUAAUGCUCUGAACACUGGGGACUUGGACAUACUGCCUUCUGUGGAAAGCUGGUUCUUGUAAUAAGUUCAAAAAUUGUAUUCUGUAACUACUUAACAUUCUCCAAUAUUUAAUAGGAGGAUCCUGUUACACUCCACAGGCUGUGAGCUUAGAAAACUGAGAACUGAAUAGAGACCAGGAAUUGUCCCAGUACUGACCUUCUGACUACCCAUUUCUUGCUCACUGCCCCAAAUUACUUCUUUUCUAUAGUAGAACAAUGUGAUGAUCUUACUUUCUCUCUAUGUUUCUGUAAGGGCAAAAAAUUUACCAGGAUAUUUUAAAUUAGCUCUUAAUAAAGCCUUUCUGAUUUAUUGCAGACUCUUCUGGAAAGUUAAGCCUCACAUAAAAUCCUGUAGCAGUGAUUUGGAAAUUUAAUUAUGUUUUUGCUUCACAGGUUAUGAAAAAAAAUUUCAUUGUGAGGGAGGAGAAGAAAGCUGAACUUUUGAAUCAGUCUCUUGCACUGAGGAAGGCCAGCUAGAGCUAGGUUCAUGAAUAAAACUUGUUUUUAUGGAACAACGUUUCUAAGCAAAGGAAAAGACAAACCAUAACUGAGAUCUAGCAUUCAAGGAAACUCUUGAGGCCAACAUCAGCAAAACAUUUGGUUUAUUACCACAGCCUGGGAACAGUUAUACUGAUGUAAAAUAACUGAGCCAAAGGAAUAUUACCAUUUAUUACCUCUGUUAUGACUGCUAAGUGUUAGUGCGCACAAUUGUCCAUUCUGGGUGGUGAUGAGGAUGCACGGGCAGGACAUUACCACCAUCUCUAGUCAAACCCAUGAAAAUCCCUCACCACAGAGUAUUCACGUGGAGGAGUUGCUGAUGCUGCUUUCAGAAGGAAGAAUGAGUGUCAGGGCCUUGAUGUGUCCCUUUAAGAGCAGAUCUUUACCCUUUUCACCCCUUCUAUGCCAUUCAGCUAGUGCCUUUUAAAUGCUUUAUUCUAGCCUUAUAUAUUUACCUACAGCCACACAUCAAAAUCAAUACCUUCUCUUUAGAAUUCAUUUGAUACAUUACAGUACUGGAGAGAAUUUCCAGUGGGAACACUGGGAAAUUGGAGAUUACUUAUCAAGUAAAUAUAUGAGGUCUGGUGCCAGAAGGCUGUUCUGGUUUCGUAAGUACAAUUUAAUAAUUUUUUGGUUUUGUGUAUGUCAAAAUCAUAACUGAAUGUUUCUUGCUUGUGAUUCUAAAGAAAUUUGACUGAGAUGCUUUUUUCUUUCUUUUCUCUCAGCAGCAGCUUCUAGAGUCUUUCCAUUCUGGUUGUGGAAAAACCUGGUGUAAUGAAGCUGCACAAGACCAAAUGCAUCCCCUGUCUUGGUCCCCUGGGUCAUCAGAGCUCUUCUUUGCUUUGUUCCUCCCGAUGCUUAAUCCAACCUGCUGUGCGAAGGAGGCUGCUCUAAUUGUGUUUGCUCACUACACAAAUUUUUGUGGACAAUGAGGGAAAAAAAAAGGACUCAAGCAAGAGGAACUUGGCCAUGCUACAGAGGUGUGAUAACUAUCUGGUAGUAGUUGAAAUACUUGAAGAGAGAAGCUGUGGAGCCAGGAAAACUCCAUGGAGGUAUUCAAACUAACUGCAGAGUAGCAGGUGUAAAUUAGCCUCUAUGAAUCUUUCUGCUGCAUAUGCUUCAGGGAUUUCAGGAUCUGGGCUGGCUCUUUUUAUACUCCAUGCUAUGAUGACAUUGGAAGCCCACCAGUUUUCAAUCUCCACAUUGCUGCUUUGUGAAUAAAUUGCGAGAAGAGAUGUUUCCUUUUGAGCCCCUUGUUUUGUACUAGCAAGAGAAGGCAGCUUCCUUUAUUGCUCAACAAAGAACAGCUCUGCAAUGAAAUGUGUGUCUUGACAAAUGAAAAAUAUGCCCUAGCAAGGAAUUGCUCCAAUCAGAUGGGGGUAGGGAAGACAUUCCCAUCGCCACAUGGACCUAGGGGCAUCAAGGCAGCUGGAGUCAACAGCUACAUUAGGCAAGAUGUUUGUAAGGGCAACAUCUCCAGGAUGAACAUAGGAAGAAAGCUUGGACUGUGCAAAUCAUUUUGUCCAACAGAUGAAGCUCUAAAAUGUUAUUGGAGCAUCUGAAAAAGGAAGAUAGUUUCUAAAAUCAGGAGAGAUAAAAGUGUUUUUCCAACCCACAGCAAAGCAAAAGAUUUUUCUGACCCACACUUGUCUUCCUGAAGUAGCCAGUAUGAAACCUUGUGCACAUGGCUUCUAAAAGCCUUGGAAUCUCAGUGCCUGCUAGUUUGUGGAGAUGAAACAGUGUUAAUUGGGUAGCCUUUAAGAAUCUGGCAUGGUGUCAAAGAUGAUCUUCAGUGUGUUCUGAGGGAAAUUUGGGUUUGCUGAGAUCUAAUCUCUUUUGCUCAAUAGUCCAGUGAUGUCAUUUAAGAGAUGAGAGGAAAUGAAGAGUGUUUGGUCUUUGUGCUGAUUUUGUUGGGGUAGAGUUAAUUGUCUUCACAAUAGGUAGUGUGGGUCUGUGUUUUGGAUUUGUUCUGGAAACAGCUCUGAAAAUUCAGGGAUGCUUCAGUUAUCAUUGAGCUCUUCUUACACAGAGUCAAGGCCUUUCCUGCUUCUCACACCACUCCACCAGCGAGGAGGCUGGGGGUGCACAAGGAUUUGGGAAGGCACACAGCCAGGACUGACCAAAGGGAUAUUCCAGACCAUACAGCACUGUGCUCAACACAUGAAGCUGGGGGAAGAAGAAGGAAGGGCUGGAUGACAUUCGCCUUCCCAAGUCACCGUUAUACAAGACUGAGCCCUCCUUUCCUGGGGAAGGCUGGACACCUGCCCAUGGGAGGUGAAGUAAUCACUUGUAUUGUUUUGUUUGCAUGCACAUGGCUUUCACUUUCCCUAUUAAACUGUCUUUAUCUCAACCCACUUUUACCCUUCUGAUGCUCUCCCCCAUCCCAUUGUGGGGGAUUGAGUGAGUGGCUCUAUCUGUCUGAGUUGCCAGCUGGUGUGGAACCAUGACAGUCUUAGAUCCAAAAAGAUAUUUAAUCUAAGAAUUGGGAGGACAAGCCACAGGAUCCACAAAAAUUAUGUAUGAGUUUUAUAUAGUCAAAUUUUCAGAAGAAUAUAAUUUUACAUCUUGACAGUUUGAGAUUUUUAAUCUCCUCCAAAAAUCCUUGCUUCAGUAUUGUAUCUAUUUGUACUUUUUGAAUGGUCCCUGUUGAUAUUUCAUGUCGGUAGAAAACUGGUCUUUAGAGAAAACAGAAGCAUCUGGAUAUGAAACACUAUUAAAUAUACAGUUCCACAGAA